rnacentral:rRNA from 1 species
GACGUAGGAUGCAAGCGUUGUCCGGAUUUAUUGGGCGUAAAGAGUUCGUAGGUGGUUCGUUAAGUCUGAUGUUAAAGACUGGGGCUCAACCCUGGGAGUGCAUUGGAUACUGGCGGACUUGGAGUGCAGUAGAGGCAAGCGGAAUUCCCAGUGUAGCGGUGAAAUGCGUAGAUAUUGGGAAGAACACCGGUGGCGCAAGCGGCUUGCUGGGCUGUAAC